AUUGAACGCUGGCGGCAGGCCUCACACAUGCAAGUCGAACGAGUGGCGGACGGGUGAGUAAUGUCUGGGAAACUGCCUGAUGGAGGGGGAUAACUACUGGAAACGGUAGCUAAUACCGCAUACCAUCGGAUGUGCCCAGAUGGGAUUAGCUAGUAGGGGGGGUAAAGGCUCACCUAGGCGACGAUCCCUAGCUGGUCUGAGAGGAUGACCAGCCACGCUGGAACGGAGUCACGGUCCAGACUCCUACGGGAGGCAGCAAUGGGGAAGAUUGCACAAUGGGCGCAAGCCUGAUGCAGCCAUGCCGCGUGUGUGAAGAAGGCCUUCGGGUUGUAAAGCACUUUCAGCGGGGAGGCGUUACUCGCAGAAGAAGCACCGGCUAACUCCGUGCCAGCAGCCGCGGUAAUAC
rnacentral:rRNA from 1 species